GCUUCAAGACGGCAAAGCCACUAACCAGUCCAGUCUAGUGCUGAUUGGAGAUGUGUUCAAACAGUUACAGAAGCAAUCAGAGUUCCAGAAAAAAGAAUGGAUUAGAAAGCAAGGUCCACACUUCGUGGAGUAUCUGGGUUAUGAAGUCACACCUGAGUGCUGUGUGAGACUGAAGUGUAAGGU